rnacentral:rRNA from 1 species
UGGGGAAUCUUGCGCAAUGGGCGAAAGCCUGACGCAGCAACGCCGCGUGCGGGAUGAAGGCCUUCGGGUUGUAAACCGCUUUCGACCGGAACGAAUCUGACGGUACCGGUGGAAGAAGGUCCGGCCAACUACGUGCCAGCAGCCGCGGUAACACGUAGGGACCGAGCGUUGUCCGGAUUCAUUGGGCGUAAAGAGCUCGUAGGCGGUUGGGUAAGUCGGGUGUGAAAACUCCAGGCUCAACUUGGAGACGCCACCCGAUACUGCUCUGACUCGAGUCUGGUAGGGGAGUGGGGAAUUCCUGGUGUAGCGGUGAAAUGCGCAGAUAUCAGGAGGAACACCGGUGGCGAAGGCGCCACUCUGGGCCAGUACUGACGCUGAGGAGCGAAAGCGUGGGUAGCAA